UACGGAGGUGGCGAGCGUUGUCCGAAGUUACUGGGCGUAAAGCGCGCGUAGGCGGGGAUUAAGUGAGAAGUGAAAGGCUGGGCUCACUCCAUGCAGUGCUUCUCAUACUGGUCUUCGUUGAGGGGGUAGAGAGAAGUGGAAUGGCUGGUGUAGCGGUGAAAUGCGUAGAUAUCAGUCGGAACACCGGUGGCGAAGGCGGCAUCUGGACAUAACUGACACUGAGAGCACGAAAGCCAGGGAGCAAACGGG
rnacentral:rRNA from 1 species